rnacentral:rRNA from 1 species
UCAGUUCGGACUGGGGUCUGNAACCCGACCCCACGAAGCUGGAUUCGCUAGUAAUCGCGCAUCAGCCAUGGCGCGGUGAAUACGUUCCCGGGCCUUGUACACACCGCCCGUCAAGCCAUGAAAGCCGGGGGCGCCUGAAGUCCGUGACCGCGAGGGUCGGCCUAGGGUGAAACCGGUGAUUGGGGCUAAGUCGUAACAAGGUAAC